UACGUAGGGUGCGAGCGUUAUUCGGAUUCACUGGGCGUAAAGGGUGCGCAGGCGGCCGUGUGUGUGAGGCGUGAAAGCCCGGGGCUUAACCCCGGAAUUGCACCUCAAACUACACGGCUAGAGCAUUGGAGAGGGUAGCAGAAUUCAUGGUGUAGCAGUGAAAUGCGUAGAUAUCAUGAGGAAUACCAGAGGCGAAGGCGGCUACCUGGACAAUUGCUGACGCUCAGGCACGAAAGCGUGGGGAGCAAAAGGG
rnacentral:rRNA from 1 species